rnacentral:lncRNA from 1 species
GGGGCUAGUAUGCUGUUCCCACGUCCAAAUCCCCUCCUGAAACAAUCAUACAUAUAAGCCACUUCAAUUCCAACAAUAUACAGUUACAAGAGAUUUCUCAAUAAUAACCCCUUCUUAUCAUCAAAAUAAAAUAUAUAUCCCUCAAUAAGCAAUAGUUGAGACUUAAUAUUUAUAUUUCAUUUGGUUACUUAAACAUAUGUUCACUUAAUUUUGAAUCACUCUACAUCCCUAACUCGUUAAUACUAACCUUUUUUCGGUUGCCCCAUCAAGAUUCAACAAGCUUUUCAUGAUAAUAAUCAUCCACAUUCCUUAUUUAAAUUCUCUUUUAACUAAAUACGUAAAUCUUAUCAAAAGCUCCUUUCUUAUAUUCUCUAUAUUCAUCUAAACUGAGAACUCAAGCACAAGAUAAGUUAUUUUCAACCAAUUAACUUAAUACCAUACAAUAAUCACAAGGGAAAAUAACAAGAAUGCUAAUUUUUCCCCAAAUUUUUGGAUUAACCCACAUAUAACAAAGCCCUAAUAUCUAAACAUCAUUUCUUUCAAUCCGCUAGAAUAACUAGCUCAAAAUACUCAAAUAGUUAGCUUCCUUAUCAUAUUUUUCAAGUAUAAGCUAUAAAUUUAAAACUACAAACAAAAAUUUACAAAAACUAAACCAUAAUUUCUUAACCUUACCUCUUGAAGAAUUAAAUAAACAAGAUUGAAGUAGUUGGCACAAGAUUUUUUCUUUCUUCUUCCUUUUCCUUCUCUUUUUCCUUCAUUUCUUUUUCUUUUCUUCCCUUUUUCCUUGGUUUUUCCCUCUUCUUUGUAUUCUUUCUCGCUCAACAAAUUCUAGUGUGUG